GAGAGGCGGAGAAACGAGGUUGCAAAGCAGAUUAAGACCAGCGUUUGAACCGUUUCCUCGGUUUGUCAGUACUAUUAGAAAACUUUCGUAGUGAAGAAGCCUGGAUGUUAAAACAAGCUUUGGAGCUGCUUUUUUUCCCUCAAACACGAGUGAGGAUAGACGCUGAAUACACCUGCGGCGCGAGGGUGUUGUAAUUCUGCUGCUGCUUGGACAGAGACACCGGCAUCACCUUACAGACCAACAGGUGUCACCACUUUGUCCACGACAUCAUACACGAUCAGAGACCUUGUCAAAGAUGAGAGAGACGUUGUCCACGAUCAGAGACAUUGUCCAUGACUUGCAGAGAUGUGCAAAAGUCAGUAAAGAUGGAGUUCCCCAAUUUGACAGCAUCAUCUGCAUUCAGAGAGACAUUGUUGAUGAUCACAGAGACACCGUCCACGAUCACAAAGACAUCGUCUAUGAUUGCAGAGACAUUGUCCAUUAUCAAGGAGAUGUAAUCCACGAUCGCAGAGACAUCGCCCACUAUCACAGAAUGACAUCCUCCACAAUCGCAGAGAAUCUUCAUAAUGUAUAAGUAAUCUGUAGUAAUAAUAAUGUAAAACUAUUUACAUUUACAUUCAGUAUUUUUGAUGGCAUACUAUACAAUGAUAUUUUUGACGCCAUACUAUACUGUGACAUUUUUACCACAUUUUUGACAUCAUAUUAUGACAUUUUACCCACAUUUUUGACACCAUACUACACAAUGAUAUUUUUUGACCAUUCUUCAUGCCUUACUACAUCAUGACUUUACUACAUACCAUGACAUUUUCUGACCAUUUUUGACACCUUGCUAUACCAUGACAUUUUUGAUGCCUUACUAUACUGUGACAUUUUUUGAUGGUUUUUGAUGUGUUUCUAUGACAUUUUAUGAUGGUGUUUGACACCUUACUACACCAUGACACUUUUUGACCAUUUUUGACGCCUUACUACACUGACAUUUUUGAUGAUUUUUGACGCCUUACUAUACUAUGACAUGUUACCCACAUUUUUGACGUCAUACUAUAUCAUGACAUUUUUACCACAUUUUUGACAGUGCACUAUACUAUAAUAAUUUUACAACAUUUUUGACGUCAUACUAUACACCUUACAACAACUUGACAUUUUUUGACCAUUUUUGGCGCCUUACUACUAUGACAUUUUUUGAUGAUUUUUGACGCCUUACUAUACAAUGACAUUUUUUGAUGAUUUUUGACGCCUUACUAUACAAUGACAUUUUAACCACAUUUUUGAUGGCUUACUAUACUAUGACAUUUUACUCACAUUUUUGAUGCCAUACUAUAUGAUGACAUUUUUACCACAUUUGACAGCGUACUAUUAUAUUUUUACCACAUUUUUAGUGCCAUACUAUACUGUGACAUUUUUACCACAUUUUUGACGCCAUACUAUACUAUGACAUUUUACCCACAUUUUUGAUGUCAUACUAUAUUAUGACAUUUUUAUGACAUUUUUUAUGCCAUAGUAUACUGUGACAAUUUUUAUGAUUUUUGACACUUUACUAUGCUAUGACAUUUUUUUGAUGGUUUUUGACACCUUACUACACCAUGACAUUUGUUGACCAUUUUGAUGGCUUACUAUACUUUGACAUUUUUUGAUGAUUGAAUGACAUUUUUUACCACAUUUUUAGUGACAUUUAGUAAGUUGUCAAAAAUGUCAUUGUAUACUGUGUGGUCAAUGUCAGAAAAUAUCAGUGUCUUUCAAAUGUAAGAGGUAAUUUGUAAUAUUACAAGCAAGAAUAUGCAAAGUUGUAUGUAGUAAUAGUGGCAUUUGUUCUUUAGAAAUGUCCCAAGUCUUCAAUAAGCACAUCACUAUAUGUGCUCAUAACUACGUUAAUUGUCGGUUGAGAGAAUAAGUGUCUCCCAGUGUUCAAACAUCUGUCAUUUGCUGUGCUUUGUUGAAUAUUAUCUAGAACAGAAUCAGUAAAGUCUUCUAGCUUAACUUUUGAGUUGGGUUUCUUUAUUUUUAAACUAAUUACACAAAAAUUAUUUUGCAAUGCAGAA